rnacentral:lncRNA from 1 species
AAAAACAAGGCAAAUGGGAGUAAUAAUAAAUAUUAUUACCACUAUUGUACUGGAUAUAAGUGGGUUGAAAAUGGAAAAAUGAAAGAAAAUGGGAGUAAUAAUAAAUAAGAAAAUUUGUGCAUAUCCUUAGUAGUCCCAAAUAAUUUAAUACUGCCUUAAAAGUGUAGACACAAAAUCAAAGGAGCAACUAUAAAUUCGAAAGAAGUGGAACAGCCAAAACCAAAUUCACAUGUUUACAAUUUCAGGCAAGUCAAACAAAGAAACCACCAAUUUUGCCUGAAGAAUCUUUCUUUAGUAAGAAAAUCUUGAUAUUUUCCUUUCCUUUUUUCUUUUAAGCCACUUGUGAAAAAUUAUGCAUGCAUGUAAUUAAAUGUGCUUUUUAUGUUGUCUCAUUUUCAGACGUUACAAGUGUGUGAUGAUUCUAUUCUUCAUGUGAUAUGUAGUACUCCUUCUGUUUGUUUAGCUGAUUUUGUAUCACUACAUAAAGUCCAAAAGUUGGUAUGUUUGUACAUUUUUUCAUCUUUUUCUGAUUGAUGGGGUGGUGGGGUUUGGUUUGUUAUGAAAAAAUAUUUAAAUAAAUUCCAAAUUUUGAUUCUUGGGUUUUGUUUAUAAUUAUUUGUAUAUGUGUACUUGUGUUAUUUCUCUUGAUUCUUGAAUUUGUGGCUGGGAAAGUAUCUCUUGGGCUGGGAAGUGUUGGGGUUCUUUUUCCUACUGAUGGCAAGUGAUUUUUCUUUUCUUUUUUUUUCUUCUUUUUUUGUGUGGUUGUGUGUGAUUUUCCUUGAAGGGGGGAAUGCUACUUUUUAUAUUGAUUUAAUAUUUUUUUUGAGGGAUUUGAUGAUUUUUUUUUGUUUUCUGUUUAUUAACUGGUGGAAUUUGGUUUGCAGUUGAGUGAAUUGUCUCUUUUGUUGCAUUUUUUAUCAACAAGGACAGAGAGAGUAUUGGAUCAGUGUUUGUGACUUUGUUCUGCUAUAUAUUUGAAGAACAGAAAAGGAGAAGCUUACACAGUAUGG